rnacentral:lncRNA from 1 species
CUGGACUAACUGAAUUUCUAAUUCAGUGACGAAAGGCUUCUGGGCAUAGUCAAGUACUUGCGAAGUCAGAGUGUGAUCGAGAUGGGAUUGACCACUUCAAGAGUUGGAAAAGAAUGAGUCACUGUAUUUCAAUUUAGCAAAAUCUUGACUAGGAUAAUCCAUCAAAUAGAUUUGAUAUUUUGAAAUUCAAUGUGGACAAUCUGAUUAGAGUUGACAGUUGAACUCUGAGGUUUCCUAUGAUCAUUUUGGUCAAGGAGAUGAAUUAUAUGGAAACUA